GACAGAGGUCCCGAGCGUUAGGCGGAAUUACUGGGCGUAAAGCGUGCGCAGGCGGUUCGUUGAGUCGGAGGUGAAAGCCCCGGGCUUAACCUGGGAACUGCAUCCGAUACUGGAUGGCUUGAGUCCGGGAGAGGGAUGCAGAAUUCCAGGUGUAGCGGUGAAAUGCGUAGAUACCAGGAGGAACACCGGUGGCGAAGGCGGCUUGCUGGACAGAAACUGACGCUGAUGCGCGAAAGCUAGGGGAGCAAACAGG
rnacentral:rRNA from 1 species